GAACUGAAGAGUUUGAUCCUGGCUCAGAUUGAACGCUGGCGGUAUGCUUAACACAUGCAAGUCGAACGGUAACAGGCCGCUGGGAUCCCUUCGGGGUGACCUUGGCGCUGACGAGUGGCGGACGGGUGAGUAAUACUUAGGA
rnacentral:rRNA from 1 species